CAUAGCUGGGACUACAGGUGCCCGCCACCUCGCCCGGCUAAUUUUUUGUAUUUUUAGUAGAGACGGGGUUUCACCGUGUUAGCCAGGAUGGUCUCAGUCUCCGGACCUCGUGAUCUGCCCGCCUCGGCCUCCCAAAGUGCUGGGAUUACAGGCGUGAGCCACCGUGCCCGGCCUUUCUUUCCUUCUUUCAUUAUUUUGAAUGGAGUUCUUGCUGCUUGCUCUUAAUCUUGGGACUUCCAGUUUUCCCUGCUGGAUUGGGAGUCUCGCUGGAGCUCCUGGCCUCAAGCAAUCCACCUGCCCUGACCUCCCAAAGUGCUGGGAUUACAGCUAUGAGCCACUGCACCCAGCCAGGAGAAUAAAAAUCUAUAGUAGGUGGGAGCUUUCAUUGUCCCUGAUCUGGAAAAACUCAGUGAGCUGCCAAGUAACAAAAAAAUCCUCCUAUAAUUGGGAGGAUUAAUUAUUUCUGGUACUGAGAUAUACAUUGGAUGUGGUAUAUAUCUUCAUUUUUUACUUUCCUAUGAAUAUUUUGUGAAUCUCCUGUAUCUAAUAGUUUAAACAUAUUUUGAGUGCAUU
rnacentral:lncRNA from 1 species